CUGGCUGGGACAGCUGGGUAUUGAGACUGAAGAGACAGCCCACCUCUCCUUCUGCCCAGAAAGUGAAAAUGCCUGAGAAGGCGCUGGGAGUGACUGGGGACAGCCAGAUGAAGGUCCAGUUCUGGUGUCGGGUCCCUGAGGAGGGAGCUCUGUGGACUGGCUCCGUAGCACAUGCUCCUGGGGCUUGCCUGGCACCGGUGCAGGGAUCAAGGUCGGAGUCCACUGGCUGCUGGGAAGGCUGGCAUUGGAGUUACACUAAGGCGCUGAGCAGCGUUAGGCACUCAAAAUCUAUUUUAAGCCUUGUGUAAACAUGCAUGAGGCGAAGUCUCCCUCUCCCUGCUGCUCCUGCAGAAAGAGCUGUCCUUUGCAUUGCCAACUUCUCAGGGUUCUUGUGGAGGUUAAGCAAGUGCUGUUUUGAUUUUUUUCUGGAGAAAGAAGUAAUGCAUGACUCUGAUUUGCGGCUGCAGGAUAAAUCCGAACUAUUUCAGGGAGAUGUCAUGGAGAGCUCAUCUCUCAGCAUCAAAGUUGCCUCUCCUGACUUUUGAAUUUUAAGUGUUCUGUGUGGAAGAAAAAUGGAGACAACAAAUUUCUAUGCAUGGAUUCAAAGAAUCCUCGUAAUAUACAGACUACAUUCUCCCCAGCUUUUUAUCUCUAUAUAUUCUUUUUGUUGAGUUUCAACCACAUAGGGUUGAAAUUCACCUUCCCACAUUACAUUUUUCAUCAAUAGUUGAAGACCUAUGUAUGUAAAUAUCAGGAACUAUCAGAACUCCCUGCAACAGGAAACCUGACCCCCAACUCCCCCGAAAUGCAUCAUGAUAAACAGUCACUUGCCAAAAUAACAAAUCAGCUUCCUGGAACAUGCUUGCUCAAAACCAGGAGAGGAGCUUAGAGACGUCAGCUUGACUUCUGCCUCGUACGCAGGAAGGGUGACCUUCAAAGAUCAAACAUCGUCCCAAAUCUCCCUUCAUCUUGUAGUACUCCUGCUUGUCGUAGCUCCUGUUACCAUCAGGUACUGGGCCAACCAUCCGUCAUGUCAGAAGAGAGUUGGGGACAAUCCCUGGAUUAUUUCACCUUUGCCCUGCUGGUAUAGACAAUGUGUGUUAUGGCUGGGUGACUUGCUGACUUUUACUCUGAGCAACAGCUUUGUCAGAGUAAACUAAAACAGAGACUUCAGAGCAUAAUAAAAUAUGACAUUUUUUCUGUAUAGAACUAAAGACACGGGGGAGAGAGAACAACUUAAUUAAAAAGACAGUGCCCUUUCAGUGUCUUUUUUUUUUUUUUUUUUUUUUUUUUUUUGAGAUGGAGUCUUGCUCCGUCGCCAGGCUGGAGUGCAGUGGCGUGAUCUGGGCUCACUGCAACCUCCACCUCCCGAGUUCAAGUGAUUCUCCUGCCUCAGCCUCCCAAGUAGCUGGGACUACAGGCACGUGCCACCACACCCAGCUAAUUUUUUUUGUAUUUUUAGUAGAGACAGGGUUUUACCGUGUUGGCCAGGAUGGUCUCGAUCUCUUGACUUUGUGAUCUGCCCUUCUCUGCCUCCCAAAGUGCUGGGAUUACAGGCGUGAGAGUUUGUAUUAAUAAAAUAAGAGGAAC
rnacentral:lncRNA from 1 species